rnacentral:rRNA from 1 species
AGAGUUUGAUCCUGGCUCAGGAUGAACGCUAGCUACAGGCUUAACACAUGCAAGUCGAGGGGCAGCAUGGUCUUAGCUUGCUAAGGCCGAUGGCGACCGGCGCACGGGUGAGUAACACGUAUCCAACCUGCCGUCUACUCUUGGCCAGCCUUCUGAAAGGAAGAUUAAUCCAGGAUGGGAUCAUGAGUUCACAUGUCCGCAUGAUUAAAGGUAUUUUCCGGUAGACGAUGGGGAUGCGUUCCAUUAGAUAGUAGGCGGGGUAACGGCCCACCUAGUCUUCGAUGGAUAGGGGUUCUGAGAGGAAGGUCCCCCACAUUGGAACUGAGACACGGUCCAAACUCCUACGGGAGGCAGCAGUGAGGAAUAUUGGUCAAUGGGCGAGAGCCUGAACCAGCCAAGUAGCGUGAAGGAUGACUGCCCUAUGGGUUGUAAACUUCUUUUAUAAAGGAAUAAAGUCGGGUAUGCAUACCCGUUUGCAUGUACUUUAUGAAUAAGGAUCGGCUAACUCCGUGCCAGCAGCCGCGGUAAUACGGAGGAUCCGAGCGUUAUCCGGAUUUAUUGGGUUUAAAGGGAGCGUAGAUGGAUGUUUAAGUCAGUUGUGAAAGUUUGCGGCUCAACCGUAAAAUUGCAGUUGAUACUGGAUAUCUUGAGUGCAGUUGAGGCAGGCGGAAUUCGUGGUGUAGCGGUGAAAUGCUUAGAUAUCACGAAGAACUCCGAUUGCGAAGGCAGCCUGCUAAGCUGCAACUGACAUUGAGGCUCGAAAGUGUGGGUAUCAAACAGGAUUAGAUACCCUGGUAGUCCACACGGUAAACGAUGAAUACUCGCUGUUUGCGAUAUACGGCAAGCGGCCAAGCGAAAGCGUUAAGUAUUCCACCUGGGGAGUACGCCGGCAACGGUGAAACUCAAAGGAAUUGACGGGGGC